rnacentral:rRNA from 1 species
GACGAACGCUGGCGGCGUGCUUAACACAUGCAAGUCGAACGGAAAGGCCCUGCUUUUGUGGGGUGCUCGAGUGGCGAACGGGUGAGUAACACGUGAGUAACCUGCCCUUGACUUUGGGAUAACUUCAGGAAACUGGGGCUAAUACCGGAUAGGAGCUCCUGCUGCAUGGUGGGGGUUGGAAAGUUUCGGCGGUUGGGGAUGGACUCACGGCUUAUCAGCUUGUUGGUGGGGUAGUGGCUUACCAAGGCUUUGACGGGUAGCCGGCCUGAGAGGGUGACCGGCCACAUUGGGACUGAGAUACGGCCCAGACUCCUACGGGAGGCAGCAGUGGGGAAUAUUGCACAAUGGGCGGAAGCCUGAUGCAGCAACGCCGCGUGCGGGAUGACGGCCUUCGGGUUGUAAACCGCUUUCGCCUGUGACGAAGCGUGAGUGACGGUAAUGGGAAAAGAAGCACCGGCUAACUACGUG